ensembl:lncRNA
AGGAGAGAGACAGUAGACAGACGGUAGUAACGGAGAGGAGAGACAGUAGACAGACGGUAGUAACGGAGAGGAGAGAGACAGUAGACAGACGGUAGUAACAGAGAGGAGAGUCAGUAGACAGACGGUAGUAACAGAGAGGAGAGACAGUAGACAGACGGUAGUAACAGAGGGGAGAGUCAGUAGACAGACGGUAGUAACAGAGAGGAGAGACACAGUAGACAGACGGUAGUAACAGAGAGGAGAGAGACAGUAGACAGACGGUAGUAACGGAGAGGAGAGAGACAGUAGACAGACGGUAGUAACAGAGAGGAGAGACAGUAGACAGACGGUAGUAACAGAGGGGAGAGUCAGUAGACAGACGGAACAGACAGAGAGGAGAGACAGUAGACAGACGGUAGUAAUGGAGAGGAGAGUCAGUAGACAGACGGUAGUAACAGAGAGGAGAGUCAGUAGACAGACGGUAGUAACGGAGAGGAGAGUCAGUAGACAGACGGUAGUAACAGAGAGGAGAGACAGUAGACAGACGGUA